AUUGAACGCUGGCGGCAGGCCUAACACAUGCAAGUCGAGCGGAUGAAGGGAGCUUGCUCCUGGAUUCAGCGGCGGACGGGUGAGUAAUGCCUAGGAAUCUGCCUGGUAGUGGGGGAUAACGUCCGGAAACGGGCGCUAAUACCGCAUACGUCCUGAGGGAGAAAGUGGGGGAUCUUCGGACCUCACGCUAUCAGAUGAGCCUAGGUCGGAUUAGCUAGUUGGUGGGGUAAAGGCCUACCAAGGCGACGAUCCGUAACUGGUCUGAGAGGAUGAUCAGUCACACUGCAACUGAGACACGGUCCAGACUCCUACGGGAGGCAGCAGUGGGGAAUAUUGGACAAUGGGCGAAAGCCUGAUCCAGCCAUGCCGCGUGUGUGAAGAAGGUCUUCGGAUUGUAAAGCACUUUAAGUUGGGAGGAAGGGCAGUAAGUUAAUACCUUGCUGCUUUGACGUUACCAACAGAAUAAGCACCGGCUAACUUCGUG
rnacentral:rRNA from 1 species